AAAGAAAGUAAGCAAGGGCGCAUGGCGGAUGCCUUGGCUCUCGGAGGCGAUGAAGGACGUGAUAAGCUGCGAUAAGCUUCGGGAAGGUGCAAAUAACCUUUGAUCCGAAGAUUUCCGAAUGGGACAACCCGGCAUUCUGAAGGAAUGUCAUCCAUCCUAGAUGGAAGCUAACGCAGGGAACUGAAACAUCUUAGUACCUGUAGGAAAAGAAAAUAAUAAUGAUUCCCCUAGUAGUGGCGAGCGAACGGGGAUUAGCCCAAACCAAUGUUGUUACGGCAAUAUUGGGGUUGUAGGACCACGACAUCGCAAGACAUUUCAUGAGUAGAACCCUUUGGAAAAUGGGACCAUAGACGGUGAUAGUCCGGUAUACGAAGUGAAACGAAGCGUAGUGGUAUCCUGAGUAGCGCGGGACACGAGAAAUCUUGCGUGAAUCUGCCGGGACCAUCCGGUAAGGCUAAAUACUCCCGAGAGACCGAUAGCGAACCAGUACUGUGAAGGAAAGGUGAAAAGCACUUCGAAUAGAAGAGUGAAAUAGUCCCUGAAACCGUGCGCCUACAAGCGGUCGGAGCAACGUAAGUUGUGACGGCGUGCCUUUUGCAUAAUGAACCUACGAGUUACUUUCUCCGGCAAGGUUAAGUAUUUCAAGAUACGGAGCCGAAGCGAAAGCGAGUCUGAACAGGGCGACUAGUCGGAGGGAGUAGACGCGAAACCAAGUGAUCUACCCAUGGUCAGGUUGAAGGUUAGGUAACACUAACUGGAGGACCGAACCGGUAAGCGUUGAAAAGCUUUCGGAUGAACUGUGGGUAGGGGUGAAAGGCUAAUCAAACUUGGAGAUAGCUCGUACUCCCCGAAAUGCAUUUAGGUGCAGCCUUGGGAAUUACUACUGUGAGGUAGAGCGACUGAUAAGAUGCGAGGGCUUCACCGCCUAUCAAGUCUUGAUAAACUCCGAAUGCGCAGUAGUUCGAUCCCAGGAGUGAGGGCAUGGGUGCUAAGGUCCAUGUCCUAAAGGAGAAGAAUCCAGACCAUCAGCUAAGGUCCCGAAAUAAUUGCUAAGUUGAACUAACGAAGUCAGAUUGCUAAGACAGCUAGGAUGUUGGCUUGGAAGCAGCCAUUCAUUUAAAGAGUGCGUAACAGCUCACUAGUCGAGGAGUUUGGCGUGGAUAAUAAUCGGGCAUCAAGCAAUUUACCGAAGCUAUGGGAUCAGUAAUGAUCGGUAGGGGAGCAUUCCACUCCGCGUCGAAGGUGAAGCGUGAGCUUUGCUGGAGCGUGUGGAAAAGCAAAUGUAGGUAUAAGUAACGAUAAAGGGGGUGAGAAACCCCCUCGCCGAAAGACUAAGGUUUCCUGAUCAACGCUAAUCGGAUCAGGGUUAGUCGGGUCCUAAGGCUCAGCCGAACGGCGAUUCCGAUGGAAGAAUGGUUUAAUAUUCCCAUACUACCUUAUAGAGCGAUGUGGAGACGGAGAAGUGACAGUCCUGCCAACUGACGGAAUAGUUGGUUAAAGGGUGUAGACGUUGAUCGCGGUAGGCAAAUCCGCCGUGAGAGUCGAACCUGAGAGUAUGCCGAGUACUUGUACAAGGCAAUAUGGAUGUAAACAGGCUCCCUAGAAAAUCCGCUAAGCAUAUCUAUAGAGUACCCGUACCGUAAACGGACACACGUAGUUGGGUUGAGAAUACUGAGGCGCUCGAGUGAUUCACGGUUAAGGAACUAGGCAAAUUGACCCUGUAACUUCGGGAUAAA
rnacentral:rRNA from 1 species